UCCCAAGCAUCAUAGAUCUUGGUGACAUGAAUUACAAGGUGAGAAGGAUUAGGGGCAUAAAAUUAAUGUUAUUUGAAUAUAUUAAAAUAACUAUAUUGAAUGAGGGCUUUUUUAUGAGUCAUUAAUCAAUAAGAAUUUUUUUAGCUAAUUUGAUUAAUUUAAACAUGGAUAGACAAAUAUCACAAAGGACAUGCACCUAAAGUUGCUAAUUUUAUUUUAAUCUAUACACAAACUUUUAAUUAAUUAAUUUAUUUAAAUCUAUCAUAUUUUUCCAAAACUAAUUAA
rnacentral:lncRNA from 1 species